CCACUGUGCUGGAGUGUGAGAGGGAGGUCGGGGAGUUCCCACUCCAAGAAGCUCGCAGUUCCCAAAACAGGCUUAAAGGUUCCUUUAGGGCUUAGCUGCUAACAGACCCUUUCCCCACACGGAUAGCUGGGCCCAUCAUGGCCACAGCCUGGACCCUUGGACUUGACGCCACUGGAGUCCUCGGGGGGAUCCUGUCCUGGGCAACAGGAAGGAUGGGUCCAGAGAACGUUCCCAGCUCUGCGGCAGCCAAAACCUCCUGGUGGGGAUGAAUGAACGCAAGCCUUGGAAGGUUCAUUAAGUAAUUAGCAUUCGUGAAUGCCCAUAAAACCUCCAGAAGGAAAUAACCCUACAGGGCCCAAGGACUUGGAGUAUUUGGGAUUGCACCUAGACAGGUAUGGAAGGACUGCUGUAUUCUCUUUAAUAUUCUCUUCGGCACACCCUGUGAAUUAAGUCUCAGUCUCUCUGCGUCUGUCCAUCUGUCUGUCUGCCUCUCUCUCACAUACAUGUACAAAGGCAACUCCAAGUUCCUGUGAGCGACUGUACCAGGCGGUCCCUUGAAAUCUAUAUCAUUCACCACAGAAUGGGAUGGGAUUGCAUGACGUUGCAGAGGCCUGUUACUAAAUGCAAAAUGUAGUUUUACAAAACAGAUCAGUGGGUGACGAAUCUGCAAGGAGUGGGGCAAAUGACAGGGUCCUGGGCAACGACAGGUGUUACCGUAGUUUUCCUACAAAAUGUCCUCGGAGCGCGUUUAGUCUGAUCCAUUUGCACGGUGCUGGCGCGCCGAAGGAUCACACCCACGCUUG